GCGACCCCAGGUCAGGCGGGGCU
rnacentral:rRNA from 2 species